CAAGCGGUGGAGCAUGUGGUUUAAUUCGACGCAACGCGAAGAACCUUACCUGGGCUCGAACGGCUUCCCAACGGCUUUGGAAACAGAGCUAUCCCGCAAGGGAGUGGAGUCGAGGUGCUGCAUGGCUGUCGUCAGCUCGUGUCGUGAGAUGUUGGGUUAAGUCCCGCAACGAGCGCAACCCUUGUCCUGUGUUGCCAGUAUUAAGUUAGGCACUCUCAGGAGACCGCCAGCGAUAAGCUGGAGAAAGGUGGGGAUGACGUCAAGUCAUCAUGGCCUUUAUGUCCAGGGCUACACACGUGCUACAAUGGGCGGUACAAACCGUUGCAAACCCCGCGAGGGGGUACUAAUCGGAAAAAACCGUUCUCAGUUCGGUAUUGCAGGCUGCAACUCCGCUCUGCAUGAAGCUGGAAUUCGCUAGUAAUGGUAUAUCAGAACGAUACCGUGAAUACGUUCCCCGG
rnacentral:rRNA from 1 species